GCGCCUGUAGCUCAGCUGGAUAGAGCAAUAGCCUCCGACGCUAUGUGCCGUGCGUUCGAAUCGCAUCAGGCGUACCA
rnacentral:tRNA from 4 species